CUUAUACUGUUGUGUUUUGUGAUGCAAAAAAAUAUGUUUUUUUCAAUCAACAGCUUUAUUCCCUUAUUUUAUUUAUAAAACUAAAUUGAAAGGAAAUUUUAAGAAUUAAAAUGCCAGAAUGGAGCAUGCCAGGCUACAAAGGUGAGCACUGUCCUACAGUGGACUAGCACCAAGGUCGCUGUACGACCCCCUAAAACACUCCCAUCCAUCCACAGGCCGAUUAUUAAUUUAAUUCCCUCAAAAAACCCUUAAUAUAUGUAGCUACAAUUUGUUCUUUGACUCCUUUGAUGCCUGAAAGUCACCUUGAAGACAUCUCUUUUAACCAGCUUGUCAUAGUCCCAUCAUGCAGUGAAACACUGAACUACAUUUUAAUACGAAUUAUUUAUUCACUACACAGUAAUAAGAAGGAGAAAUGUCAAAACUAUGCAUAUUAGGAUUACAAUCCAAGUUUUCAUGCAAAUAAUGAAACUUUUGCAGCUUGGGAGCAGCUUUUUCUUCCAAGUUUUUGCAUAAACACAAAUGAGAGAAAAAAACAGUGAAACUGCGAUUUCUAAUGUAGCCGCUAGGGGGCUCCACGUGUCACGCAAUUAAGUGUCCUUUUGCUGCAACCGCAGAGCUCUAAUGAAGUCUAUGGAAGAGACCAGGGACCAACGAGAGAAGGGCAGCACCCAAAAUUUCUCAUGUUGAAAGCAGUGAGAAAGGAGCAGCUGGGAGGAAGCUGCUCAAGCCUUCGUUCAGAGAUCUGCAACACGCCUGCUCCAGAUGGCAGCUCAGUGGCACAGUGUGGGUGUGGUGACAGAGAGGCAGCCUGCCCUGCAACUAAAAAUCCAUCUGGUCUGCUCAGAAAAAGAUUCUGCAUAUUAGUUCAGGGAUGCACAGCUUUAUUCUGUGUCUGGAUUAACACUAGAGGUGAGCAGAUGGAGAAAACGGUUUUGAAUCCUCUCUGUGUGUGCUUUAUAUUGCUAAAUACGACGUGUCUAUGUGGUACAAACAGCUAAAGCAAUCAUUAACAUUUUUCUCAGUUUAGUUGUUUUUCUCACUAAGGAUCUAUUAUUUUCCAAUAAUUCCAAAUGUAUGUGUAAAGAUUAUUAACGACCUUUGCUUCAGUCACGAUUGAGACUCCCUUCCUCCCUUAACUUUCGUUUAAAAAUAAAACUAAUUCUAACCAGUUUUACUUUUUUAAGGGAUGUCUACUUUUGUUUACUAUCAUUUUCUUGUGAUGGAAAUACAACACCUGCUGGUAAAACACCCAUACCAUAUUUGAGGGAAGAUUUAAGAGAAACAUUCCUACCUGUGAAGCAAAUCCAAGACCGUUUUUCAGCGGUAUAUAAUUCCUGGAGGAAUCAAACAAUCGGACAUAAGCAAAACAUCUUUGAACAGGUUUUUAGUAUUUUACUGACACCUCAAAGAUACAAAGCACUCAGAGAUCUUACUUUGACACACAAGAAAUAAGAUGGAAUUUUGUUUUAGCAGAUUCAUAGAACAAACAUUUUGCAACACAAACCCAAGACUGCUUGUUUGACACACUUUUGAUUAAAUAUGUACAAAAAUGCAUUUUUCCAUCUAUCUGCUUUCUACCCUUUCAACUCCCUUUAUUUUCUUAGAGGUACAGCCUGACAAGAAAUAGAGAGCCAGUGAAUAAACUGAACAUGCAGGUCAUGCAAACACUGUUAUCAGAAUGCUACUUCUUUUAAAAAGAAAGAGGUCAGUACAUGCAAACAUGUACAGCUAAAAACCCCAAAGAGGAGGUAAAAAUGGGAACAUUUACCCUUUGUGAAGAGUGUCCAUGUGAUUUUCAUCUGGUCCUUCACUAACACACUCUCUAGACUGCAAGCAAAAAAACAACACAUUUUUCACUAAUUUAUGAAACUAUUUCUACUAAAAUGAAAAAUAAAAUUUUUAAUGUAGAACCCAGAAUUGUCUUGCUUUACAGCUUCUUCCACUUUUCCCAUCACCGUACUUAAUUUUAAGUCUUUUAUGGGUUUAAUUAGUACAAACCCUAAGAUUUUUAUUUAUUUUCCCAGAAUAAAUCCCAAAGUCAGUUAUAUUUAACCACCUGAUGUGCAGAAAAAGUACAUGUAUACAACUUUCAUGCACAUUUAAUGUAGCAACUGUAACAAAAAAAAAUCAAAAGUCGCUGAGAAACUGAAGCCUGGCCCGGUUGUUAUGCGACGCACUAAACAAAGGGACUUGAAUUAGGUCAUGCUUUGAACCUUUUAUUAAUGACAAAAUUAAAUCCACUUGGAAUCACUUUGGCUUUUUGUAAGCAACAGGGAAAAAAAAUACACAAAAAUGGGCAAGAAAGCAACAAAAAAAGCGAUCGACAAAAAAUUUGGCAACCCAGCUCACUCUCUCCCCUAUAAUUUACAGGUGCAAACUCAACAGGUGAGUUAUAAUCAUAAAAAAAUUACCUCCGCCCACAAAAAUGUGACCCACCAGGUAUUACCUGCUCAAUUUGACUGAAAACAAUACUAUAAUAAAAAAAAAA